CCUACGGGAGGCAGCAGUGAGGAAUAUUGGUCAAUGGACGAGAGUCUGAACCAGCCAAGUAGCGUGAAGGAUGACUGCCCUAUGGGUUGUAAACUUCUUUUAUAUGGGAAUAAAACGUUCCACGUGUGGGAUUUUGUAUGUACCAUAUGAAUAAGGAUCGGCUAACUCCGUGCCAGCAGCCGCGGUAAUACGGAGGAUCCGAGCGUUAUCCGGAUUUAUUGGGUUUAAAGGGAGCGUAGGUGGAGUGUUAAGUCAGUUGUGAAAGUUUGCGGCUCAACCGUAAAAUUGCAGUUGAAACUGGCAGUCUUGAGUACAGUAGGGGUGGGCGGAAUUCGUGGUGUAGCGGUGAAAUGCUUAGAUAUCACGAAGAACUCCGAUUGCGAAGGCAGUUCACUGGACUGCAACUGACACUGAGGCUCGAAAGUGUGGGUAUCAAACAGGAUUAGAUACCCGGGUAGUC
rnacentral:rRNA from 1 species